ACAGGGAGACAGGUGGUGGCAUGGUUGUCGUCAGCUCGUGUCGUGAGAUGUUGGGUUAAGUCCCGCAACGAGCGCAACCCUUGUCAUUAGUUGCUACAUUCAGUUGGGCACUCUAAUGAGACUGCCGGUGACAAACCGGAGGAAGGUGGGGAUGACGUCAAGUCCUCAUGGCCCUUAUAGGUGGGGCUACACACGUCAUACAAUGGAUGGUACAAAGGGUCGCCAACCCGCGAGGGGGAGCCAAUCCCAUAAAGCCAUUCGUAGUCCGGAUCGCAGUCUGCAACUCGACUGCGUGAAGUCGGAAUCGCUAGUAAUGGCGGAUCAGCAUGCCGCCGUGAAUACGUUCCCGGGUCUU
rnacentral:rRNA from 1 species